UAAAGGGAGCUUGCUCUCUGAUUCAGCGGCGGACGGGUGAGUAAUGCCUAGGAAUCUGCCUGGUAGUGGGGGACAACGUUUCGAAAGGAACGCUAAUACCGCAUACGUCCUACGGGAGAAAGUGGGGGAUCUUCGGACCUCACGCUAUCAGAUGAGCCUAGGUCGGAUUAGCUAGUUGGUGGGGUAACGGCCUACCAAGGCGACGAUCCGUAACUGGUCUGAGAGGAUGAUCAGUCACACUGGAACUGAGACACGGUCCAGACUCCUACGGGAGGCAGCAGUGGGGAAUAUUGGACAAUGGGCGCAAGCCUGAUCCAGCCAUGCCGCGUGUGUGAAGAAGGUCUUCGGAUUGUAAAGCACUUUAAGUUGGGAGGAAGGGCAGUAAGCUAAUAUCUUGCUGUUUUGACGUUACCAACAGAAUAAGCACCGGCUAACUUCGUGCCAGCAGCCGCGGUAAUACGAAGGGUGCAAGCGUUAAUCGGAAUUACUGGGCGUAAAGCGCGCGUAGGUGGUUUGGUAAGAUGGAUGUGAAAUCCCC
rnacentral:rRNA from 1 species